GAGGUCGGUCUCUACGAGCAAUUAAACACUAGUCUUUUAGAGUUGUUAUAGGUCAGUUUCCAAAGGCCAUUAUUGGUAGGUCUUAAGGAGUCAUUAGAAAAUUGGUCUUCAAAGCAUUAUAGGUCCAUCAUAAGAAGUUAUUAUAGGUUGAUCUCCAGGAGCCAUUAUAAGUCGAACUCUAGGAAUAGUUAGGAGAUCGAUCUUCAAGAGCUGUUAUGAAUUGGUUUCAAGGCACUGCAAGGAGGUUAUCUCUUGGUGCCACAAU
rnacentral:lncRNA from 1 species